UUAUUAUUAAUCAUUUAUAUAAUAUUAAACAACUUUGGAUGGUAAACAGAAUGGUAAGAAGAAAUUUCCCUCGUCUGUCUGAGAAUAUUUAUGACAAAAUAACGAAGCGCAUAACAUGCCUGAUUAAAUUUGAAUUUAAAAUAGAAAAAAUCGAUCUUAUAUCUAAUCAAAUUGAUGAUUGAACAAUUGAUAAAAACAUGAUAAUUAUUUUUAAUUUUAACACAUCAAAUAUGAUCUAUAACAAUUAUACUGGCAAUUUAAAAAAAUUGUUGUUCUAAGAUAGCGUGAAAAGAUUUUGGAAACGUUUCUUAUGAAACACUGAUACCGCAAUACUUAAUGAACAAGGCUAUUUCUCAAAUAACAUUUCCGAUGUUUUUACGCUAAUCUAAAAUAACAAAAUAGCAACAAAUUAUGGUAUACUCGAUUUUUCGAUUCGAAUAUUCUAUAUAUAUAUUUUUUCAUUAUGAGGGGGGCUAGAGAGAGAAAGAGAGCUUGAUACGAGCCAAACCAUGCUUAAUAAAUACAGAUUAUAAAUACAUACAUAUGUAUAUAUUUAAAUAAUGAACAAAUAAUUGUACUCAC